rnacentral:rRNA from 1 species
AACGAACGCUGGCGGCAUGCCUAACACAUGCAAGUCGAACGAGACCUUCGGGUCUAGUGGCUCACGGGUGCGUAACGCGUGGGAACCUUCCCUUAGGUUCGGAAUAACUCCCCUAAAGGGGUGCUAAUACCGGAUAAUUUCUUCUGACCAAAGAUUUAUCGCCUUUGUGUGGGCCCGCGUUGGAUUAGCUAUGUGGUAGGGUAAAAGCCUACCAAGGCGACGAUCCAUAGCUGGUCUGAGAGGAUGAUCAGCCACCCUGGGACUGAGACACGGCCCAGACUCCUACGAGAGGCAGAAGUGGGGAAUAUUGGACCCGGGGCGAAAGACUGAUCCAGCAAUGCCGCGUGAGUGAUGAAGGGCAUAGGGUUGUAAAGCUCUUUUACCCGGGAUGAUAAUGACAGUACAGAGAGAAUAAGCUCCGGCUAACCCCG